rnacentral:rRNA from 1 species
GAUGAACGCUGGCGGCGUGCCUAAUACAUGCAAGUCGAGCGAACGGACGAGAAGCUUGCUUCUCUGAUGUUAGCGGCGGACGGGUGAGUAACACGUGGAUAACCUACCUAUAAGACUGGGAUAACUUCGGGAAACCGGAGCUAAUACCGGAUGAUAUUUGAAACCGGAUGGUUCAAAAGUGAAAGACGGUCUUGCUGUCACUUAUAGAUGGAUCCGCGCUGCAUUAGCUAGUUGGUAAGGUAACGGCUUACCAAGGCAACGAUGCAUAGCCGACCUGAGAGGAUGAUCGGCCACACUGGAACUGAGACACGGUCCAGACUCCUACGGGAGGCAGCAGUAGGGAAUCUUCCGCAAUGGGCGAAAGCCUGACGGAGCAACGCCGCGUGAGUGAUGAAGGUCUUCGGAUCGUAAAACGCUGUUAUUAGGGAAGAACAUAUGUGUAAGUAACUGUGCACAUCUUGACGGUACCUAAUCAGAAAGCCACGGCUAACUACGUG